rnacentral:rRNA from 1 species
UGGGGAAUAUUGGACAAUGGGCGAAAGCCUGAUCCAGCAAUGCCGCGUGAGUGAUGAAGGCCUUAGGGUUGUAAAGCUCUGUUACCCGGGAUGAUAAUGACAGUACCGGGAGAAUAAGUCCCGGCUAACUCCGUGCCAGGAGCCGCGGUAAUACGGAGGGGGCUAGCGUUGUUCGGAAUUACUGGGCGUAAAGCGUACGUAGGCGGCUUUGUAAGUUAGAGGUGAAAGCCCGGGGCUCAACCCCGGAAUUGCCUUUAAGACUGCAUCGCUAGAAUCAUGGAGAGGUGAGUGGAAUUCCGAGUGUAGAGGUGAAAUUCGUAGAUAUUCGGAAGAACACCAGUGGCGAAGGCGACUCACUGGACAUGUAUUGACGCUGAGGUACGAAAGCGUGGGGAGCAAACAGG